rnacentral:miRNA from 1 species
CCUAGAGCAGGCUUCCUCAACCUCAGCCCUCCAGAUGUUUUUGGCUACAACUCCCAUGAUCCCAACAUCUGGAGGGCUGAGGUUGAGGAAGCCUGGCCUAGA